rnacentral:hammerhead_ribozyme from 1 species
CGCCGAUUGACGAGUCCCAAAUAGGACGAAAUGCGCAUGCUGCAU